GAUCAUGGCUCAGGAUGAACGCUAGCUACAGGCUUAACACAUGCAAGUCGAGGGGCAGCAUUUUUAGUUUGCUUGCAAACUGAAGAUGGCGACCGGCGCACGGGUGAGUAACACGUAUCCAACCUGCCGAUAACUCCGGGAUAGCCUUUCGAAAGAAAGAUUAAUACCGGAUAGCAUACGAAUAUCGCAUGAUAUUUUUAUUAAAGAAUUUCGGUUAUCGAUGGGGAUGCGUUCCAUUUAG
rnacentral:rRNA from 1 species